rnacentral:rRNA from 1 species
UACGGAGGGGGCAAGCGUUGUUCGGAAUUACUGGGCGUAAAGGGCGCGCAGGCGGCUGCUUAAGUCAGGUGUGAAAGCCCUGGGCUUAACCUAGGAAUUGCGCUUGAGACUGGAUAGCUUGGAGUGCGGCAGAGGGAGGUGGAAUUCCACGUGUAGCAGUGAAAUGCGUAGAGAUGUGGAGGAACACCGAUGGCGAAGGCAGCCUCCUGGGCCAGCACUGACGCUCAUGCACGAAAGCGUGGGGAGCAAACAGG